rnacentral:misc_RNA from 1 species
UUUCCGUAGGUGAACCUGCGGAAGGAUCAUUCAUAAUAAAGUGUUUUAUGGCACUUUUUAAAAAUCCAUAUUCACCUUGUGUGCAAUGUUAGAUCUCGUCAAUCUUGGCGAGAUUUUUAUACAUCAACUCAUUCUUUAACUAAUUUGUCUGAAAAAUAUUAUGAAUACUUAAUUCAAAAUACAACUUUCAACAACGGAUCUCUUGGCUCUCACAUCGAUGAAGAACGCAGC